GAGUUUGAUCCUGGCUCAGAGCGAACGCUGGCGGCAGGCUUAACACAUGCAAGUCGAGCGGGCGUAGCAAUACGUCAGCGGCAGACGGGUGAGUAACGCGUGGGAACGUACCUUUUGGUUCGGAACAACACAGGGAAACUUGUGCUAAUACCGGAUAAGCCCUUACGGGGAAAGAUUUAUCGCCGAAAGAUCGGCCCGCGUCUGAUUAGCUAGUUGGUAGGGUAAUGGCCUACCAAGGCGACGAUCAGUAGCUGGUCUGAGAGGAUGAUCAGCCACAUUGGGACUGAGACACGGCCCAGACUCCUACGGGAGGCAGCAGUGGGGAAUUUUGGACAAUGGGCGCAAGCCUGAUCCAGCCAUGCCGCGUGAGUGAAGAAGGCCUUCGGGUUGUAAAGCUCUUUCAGCCGGAAAGAAAUCAUGCUUACUAAUACUAAGUGUGGAUGACGGUACCGGAAGAAGAAGCACCGGCUAACUACGUGCCAGCAGCCGCGGUAAUACGUAGGGUGCGAGCGUUAAUCGGAAUUACUGGGCGUAAAGCGUGCGCAGGCGGUUUUUUAAGACAGAUGUGAAAUCCCCGGGCUUAACCUGGGAACUGCAUUUGUGACUGGAAGGCUAGAGUACGGCAGAGGGGGGUAGAAUUCCACGUGUAGCAGUGAAAUGCGUAGAUAUGUGGAGGAAUACCGAUGGCGAAGGCAGCCCCCUGGGUCGAUACUGACGCUCAUGCACGAAAGCGUGGGGAGCAAACAGGAUUAGAUACCCUGGUAGUCCACGCCCUAAACGAUGUCAACUAGGUGUUGGGGAAGGAGACUUCUUUAGUACCGCAGCUAACGCGUGAAGUUGACCGCCUGGGGAGUACGGUCGCAAGAUUAAAACUCAAAGGAAUUGACGGGGACCCGCACAAGCGGUGGAUUAUGUGGAUUAAUUCGAUGCAACGCGAAAAACCUUACCUACCCUUGACAUGCCAGGAAGAUUUCAGAGAUGAGAUUGUGCCCGAAAGGGAACCUGGACACAGGUGCUGCAUGGCUGUCGUCAGCUCGUGUCGUGAGAUGUUGGGUUAAGUCCCGCAACGAGCGCAACCCUUGUCAUUAAUUGCCAUCAUUCAGUUGGGCACUUUAAUGAGACUGCCGGUGAUAAACCGGAGGAAGGUGGGGAUGACGUCAAGUCCUCAUGGCCCUUAUGGGUAGGGCUUCACACGUAAUACAAUGGUCGGUACAGAGGGUUGCCAACCCGCGAGGGGGAGCCAAUCCCAGAAAGCCGAUCGUAGUCCGGAUUGUAGUCUGCAACUCGACUACAUGAAGUCGGAAUCGCUAGUAAUCGCGGAUCAGCAUGUCGCGGUGAAUACGUUCCCGGGUCUUGUACACACCGCCCGUCACACCAUGGGAGUGGAAUCUGGCAGAAGUAGGUAGCCUAACCGCAAGGGGGGCGCUUACCACGCUGGGUUUCAUGACUGGGGUGAAGUCGUAACAAGGUAACCGUA
rnacentral:rRNA from 1 species